rnacentral:rRNA from 1 species
ACCUACCUCUUACAAAGGGAUAGCCUCGGGAAACCGGGAUUAAUACCAUAUAACAUUGCGACGAAGCAUUUCGAUGCAAUCAAAGCUACGGCGGUAAGAGAUGGGCUCGCGUCCCAUUAACCAGAUGGUGAGGUAACGGCUCACCAUAGUAACGAUGGGUAACCGGCCUGAGAGGGUGAACGGUCACACUGGAACUGAGACACGGUCCAGACUCCUACGGGAGGCAGCAGUGGGGAAUAUUGCACAAUGGAGGGAACUCUGAUGCAGCGACGCCGCGUGAGUGAUGAAGGAAUUCGUUUCGUAAAACUCUGUUCUAUGGGAAGAAAAGGACUGUACCAUAGGAGAAAGCUCCGGCUAAAUACGUGCCAGCAGCCGCGGUAAUACGUAUGGAGCGAGCGUUGUCCGGAAUUAUUGGGCGUAAAGGGUGCGCAGGCGGCUUUACAAGUUGGAUGUGAAAUAUUGUGGCUCAACCACAAACGUGCAUCCAAAACUGCAAAGCUUGAGUUAAGGAGAGGUAAGUGGAAUUCCUGGUGUAGCGGUGGAAUGCGUAGAUAUCAGGAGGAAUACCGGUGGCGAAGGCGACUUACUGGACUUAAACUGACGCUCAGGCACGAAAGCGUGGGGAGCAAACAGGAUUAGAUACCCUGGUAGUCCACGCCGUAAACGAUGAGUGCUAGGUGUUGGGGGUCAAACCUCGGUGCCGCAAGCAAACGCAAUAAGCACUCCGCCUGGGGAGUACGUGCACAAGCAUGAAACUCAA